CGACGAUGCGUAGGGGUUCUGAGAGGAAGGCCCCCCACACUGGAACUGAGACACGGUCCAGACUCCUACGGGAGGCAGCAGUGAGGAAUAUUGGUCAAUGGGCGGAAGCCUGAACCAGCCAAGUCGCGUGAGGGAAUAAGGCCCUACGGGUCGUAAACCUCUUUUGCCGGGGAGCAAGGGCCGGGACGCGUCCCGGCCCGGAGAGUACCCGGAGAAAAAGCAUCGGCUAACUCCGUGCCAGCAGCCGCGGUAAUACGGAGGAUGCGAGCGUUAUCCGGAUUUAUUGGGUUUAAAGGGUGCGUAGGCGGGCUUUUAAGUCAGCGGUAAAAAUUCGGGGCUCAACCCCGUCCGGCCGUUGAAACUGGGGGCCUUGAGUGGGCGAGAAGAAGGCGGAAUGCGUGGUGUAGCGGUGAAAUGCAUAGAUAUCACGCAGAACCCCGAUUGCGAAGGCAGCCUUCCGGCGCCCUACUGACGCUGAGGCACGAAAGUGCGGGGAUCGAACAGGAUUAGAUACCCUGGUAGUCCGCACAGUAAACGAUGGAUGCCAGCUGUCCGGGCCGAAUGGGGCCUGG
rnacentral:rRNA from 1 species